CACAAGCGGUGGAGCAUGUGGUUUAAUUCGAUGAUACGCGAGGAACCUUACCUGGGCUCAAAUGUAUGUUGACGUAUUCUGAAAGGGAUACUUCUUCGGACAAUAUACAAGGUGCUGCAUGGUUGUCGUCAGCUCGUGCCGUGAGGUGUCGGGUUAAGUCCCAUAACGAGCGCAACCCCUACUCAUUAGUUGCCAUCAGGUCAAGCUGGGGACUCUAAUGAAACUGCCUACGCAAGUAGUGAGGAAGGCGGGGAUGACGUCAAAUCAGCACGGCCCUUACGUCCAGGGCUACACACGUGCUACAAUGGCCGAUACAGAGGGCAGCUACCUGGUGACAGGAUGCAAAUCUCCAAAGUCGGUCUCAGUUCGGAUCGGAGUCUGCAACCCGACUCCGUGAAGUUGGAUUCGCUAGUAAUCGCGCAUCAGCCAUGGCGCGGUGAAUACGUUCCCGGGCCUU
rnacentral:rRNA from 1 species